rnacentral:tRNA from 1 species
GGUGGCUCAGUGGUAGAGUGCUUGCCUAGCACGCAUGAGGCCCUGGGUUCAAUUCCUCAGCACCA